rnacentral:tRNA from 1 species
GCUUCUGUAGCCCAAUUGGAAGAGGCUGCUACCUCAAAAGUAGUUGUUAUUUAAGUAUGGGUUCGACUCCCAUCAGGAGUA